rnacentral:piRNA from 1 species
UAGAUUGAGGAAAGGCCUAGAAAGGGAAGGU